GCUGAUGUAGCUUGACUUAAAGCAUAACACUUAAGAUGUUAAGAUGGACUUAAGAGGUCUCAUAAGCA
rnacentral:tRNA from 1 species